rnacentral:rRNA from 1 species
CCGAAAGGGGACCGAUCCUUCGGGAAGCCCGCACAGGUGCUGCAUGGCUGUCGUCAGCUCGUGUCGUGAGAUGUCCGGUUAAGUCCGCUAACGAGCGCAACCCCCACUGUGUGUUAUACGUGUCACACGAGACUGCCGGUAUCAAGCCGGAGGAAGGUGGGGAUGACGUCAAGUCAGCAUGGCCUUUAUAUCCUGGGCUACACACACGCUACAAUGGCCGGUACAAUGGGUCGCGAAACCGCGAGGUGAAGCCAAUCCUAAAAAGCCGGUCUCAGUUCAGAUUGCAGGCUGCAACCCGCCUGCAUGAAGACGGAGUUGCUAGUAACCGCAGGUCAGCUAUACUGCGGUGAAUACGUUCCCGGGCCUUGUACACACCGCCCGUCACGUCAUGGGAGCUGGCAAUACCUGAAGCCGGUAUCCUAACCCGCAAGGGAGGGAGCCGUCGAGGGUAGGGUCGGUGACUGGGACGAAGUCGUAACAAGGUAGGUGUACCGGAAGG